rnacentral:rRNA from 1 species
UACGGAGGGUGCGAGCGUGUCCGGAAUCUUGGCGUAAAGGGCGCGUAGGUGGCCUGGCAAGCGUGCGGUGAAAGCUCGGGGCUCAACCCCGAGUCGGCCGUGCGAACUGCUAUGGCUCGAGCACUGUAGAGGCAGGCGGAAAUUCCGGGUGUAGCGGUGGAAUGCGUAGAUAUCGGAAAGGAACAUCAGUGGCGAAAAGCACUUCCUGGACC